UUGUUUUGUUUUGUGUUUUGUUAUUGGCCGCACCUGGCGUCGAAUCCAAGCCAGCUAGUCACACGUGUACACCGUGUCCUAGGAUCAGGAGGUUGCUGGCCGGCUUUGUGGUGUUCCGCCGGCAGGUUUUCCUCCACCAUAUAUGCAAGCUGCAGUGUUCUGGACGUUGAUGGUGUGGUCUGGCCAGUGCUGGUGUGGCCAGGACAUUAAUGGUGUGGACUGGACAUUGAUGGGACAUACAGGAGGUCAAUGUUGUUGGAUCAAUAAAUAUUGAUACCACUCGUGGCCCAUUUGAUAUCCCAUCACGAAACAAUCCAACAACACUCCUAGAUGGCGGAGGGCAAGAGGAUGGCGGAGGUGGGCACCCCCAGCUCAAGUAGUGGGGUAAGACAAGGAUGCAAUCAUCAAGACAAGAAGCAGCGCGGCGUUGUCAAGGGAAGAUUUACAUCCAAAGUAAGAAUGCUCAAUGACCUUCUGCCACAGGAUAGCCCCUUGGAAGUAUUGGAUGCAGUAUACAAAGAAAUAUCAGAGUUGUUUGAGAAAUUAGAUGUCAAUGUUCAGUUACUGCUGUAAUGUAGUGAGCACGAACAGAGCCAACAUUUAGAGUAUUUGUGGGAUUCACAAAAGCUGAAAUAUGAGUGUCAGAGUAAAAUUGUUAAACUUAAGGAUAAACAGAAAAGACAACAAAAAGUUUCAAAUGAUGACAAAUGCAAUAUUCAAAUUAAGAAAGUGGAACUUCCCAUAUUUAGUGGUGAUGUGCGUGAUUUUCCCACAUUUGUGAAGGACUAUACAAGACUGGUGGUAUCUCGUCAUGGUAAAGAUCCUUUUAUUCUUAGGCAGUCAUUGUAAGGAAAGGCAAGCGGGGUAGUGGGAAGACUAGAUGAAUUUGAUGAAAUGUGGAAAAGAUUAGAUGACAGGUUUGGCUCAUCAGCCAAGAUAGUGGAUGCUGUUUUGGGUGAUGGGCAAUAAAUCCAAACUCUUGCAUAUGAUCAGUGUAGUGGAGCAAGCUUGGGUAGAUUUGGGCAAGAUUGGCAAGUUAAAUGAAAUAGAUAGUUCCCAUAGUUUGCUUAAGGUGGAAAGAUUGCUUCCAAUAGAUUUGAAGAAGGAGUGGACUCGUAAGGCAAGGAAUUUGGAUGAUAAUGAAAAAUUUGAAGUUGGUUAGAUUUUUGGUAGAAGAAUGAAAGGUAAUAGAGUACAUGGAGGAUGAUAUAAGAGGAUCAAAGGCUGACAUGAAGGUCUCAGUUAAUGCAGCCUCUACUCAGGAAAAUGUAGAUGAGAUGUCAAGUUUGUCAGUGGCUAUAAGUAAGUUAGCUCAAAGCCAGGAAAAUUGCCAGAAACAAUUGUUAGACUGUUUCAAUAACAUAGCACACACAAUGAGGAGCAUCACAAAUAAUAAUCAAGCUAGAGGCAAGCCUUAUGGAAUGGGUCCUGAUCAUAAAUUUAAUGUAAGAGGGUGUUGGUAUCACAAUAAUCCAUCACAUGAUAUAAGUCAAUGUGAAACCUUCAGCAAAUUAGAUGACGCAUCAAAGAUGGAAAGUUCGAAGAGAGCAGGGGCAAGUUUCGUCUGUUUGGAGUCCUAUCACAUGAGCAGAGAAAGUUGGGAUAAAAGGGAAAGGAAAUUAGCAUGUCACUGACGAAGGUUGGAAAUCAAACAGAAAGGAUAGAUGCCUGGGUAUAUACAGUUCCAUUAAUUGAUAAUGAAGGCACACAAUGCACUGUUAAAGCAGUGGGUUUUGAGAAAAUAACUUCAGGAAUUGGUGAGGUAAAACAUAAUGGAUAUUGCAUCCAAGCUAGGAGUAGAUCCACAAGAAACUGAUAGACCUAAUGGAGAGAUUGAUAUGCUGAUUGGUAUGGAUUAUUGUACUCUUCUUCCCCAUGGUUGCAAAAACGGUAGGAAGUCUUCAGCUGAUGAAAGGCUGGUUUGGAUUCUUCAUAAGGGGAGAUCAAAGGCUUAUUGGUGAUGGUGGAAAGGGCUUAAAUGUUUUUGUGCAUCACGUGCAAGGGACAAGGAUAGAUGACUUUAUAAUUAAGCCUAGAGUAGAAAUGCAAAACGUCAUUGAACAGUUUUUUGUGACGGAAGACUUGGGAGUGUCAUGUUUACCUAAAUGUGGGAGUUGUCGCUGUGGUAAAUGUUCACUGAAGGGUCAUUUGACAAUAAAGGAAGAAAGGGAAGUCAAUUUAAUAAUGUUAAUAGCUUAACAUAUGACGGAGAACGUAAAAGCUGGAUUGCUGAGUAUCCAUGGAUAAGGGAUCCUAACGAUCUACAGAAUAAUUACUCAAUGGCAUAUGCAAGGUUGAAGUCAACAGAGAGGGGGCUAAACAAAAUGGGUUGUACUCACGAACAAAAAUACUGUGAACAAAUUCAGGAUAUGAUAGACAGAGGUGUCGCUCGUAAACUAACAAAGGAGGAGAUGCUAAACUAUGAAGGACCUGUAUUAUACUUACCUCUCCAUGAAGUCCAUAAACCUGAGUCUAGAUCCAUCCCCACUCCGUAUCGUAUUUAAUUCCUCUGCAUCCUACAUGGGGAGUUUACUGAAUGAUUUUUUGGCGAAAGGGCCAGACUGUUUUAAUAACAUUUUAGUAGUAUUACUGAAGUUUCGACAAAAUUUUGUGGGUUUAAUUUGGGACAUCAAAAAGAUGUAUAAAUCUGUAGAUAUUUCCCUUUUUGAUCAAAACUGUCAUAGAUUCCUUUGGAGAGAGAUGGAUGUAGAUUGUAUACCUGAUCAUUAUGCUUUUUGACUACAGUUCUCUUUGGGGAUAGACCAGGAGGAGCAAUUGCCAUGAUAGCUCUCAGGAAAACCUCAGAAAUGUCUAAUCAGUGCCCAAAUGCCAAAAAAACUGAUAGAAUGUAACUCUUACGUGGAUGAUUUACUGACAAGUGUUGUUGAUCACGGUGAAACCACCGUAUAAUGGAGGAAGUUGAGCUUGUGCUUAACAUGGGAGGAUUUGAAAUAAAGGAAUGGACAGUGUCAGGUGACAGGAAUGUGUCAUUAAUGCACCCAAAAAUUUUAGACUCGAAGGUUUUAGGUUUGAGUUGGGAUCCUCAAAAGGAUAUGUUCAUGUUUAAAGUUCAGCUGAACUUCUCUGAGAAAAUGGAAAACUGUUUUCAAGGGCUUUAUUUGACUGUUCAAGACUUAGAAAAGGAAUUGCCCAUAGUACUGUCACGAAGGAUAAUUUUGAGACAAGCAACCAGUAUAUACGAUCCAUUGGGAAUGGUGACGCCAUUUACACUGAAAAUGAAACUACUCAUGAGGGAGUUGGUGGUGGAUAUGAAUGCCGAUGGCAGAAAAUCUGGUUGGGAUGAAGCCGUUGAUGAAGAAUUCCAUCGGAAAUGGAAAUUGUUAUUCAAGGAAAUGUUCGAAUUGGAAUAUAUUUCUUUUAAAAGGUGUUUAAAGCCUAAGGAUGCUGUGGGUAAUCCUGAUUUAGUAGUUUUCUCUGAUGGAAGCAUGAAAGCAUUUGGGGCAGUGGCAUAUGUGAGAUGGCAUUUGAUGGAUGGAUCUACUGAAUGUGCAUUGGUUGCAUCAAAGAGUAAAUUGGCUUUUCUUAGUCAGGUUACUGUACCAUGAUUAGAGUUGUGUGGGGCAGUGUUGGCGUGCAAAUUAAGGCAAUUCAUAGAGGAAGAAAUGGAGUGUUCAUUUGAUACCGUUGUUCAUAUAACUGAUUUAGAGAUAGUGAGAGGCCAGAUUCAAAAGGAGUCUUUUAGAUUUGACGCUUAUGUGUGAAACAGAACAGCAGAAAUACAAGAGAAAAGUCAGCCUAGCGAGUGGUACUGGGUCAGCACUGAUAAAAAUGUUGCAGAUUUGUGUACUCAUAGCUGCAGACCCAGCCUUCUCCAUAAGAACUCUACUUGGCAACUAGGACCUGAAUUUUUAAGGUUACCCAAAGGGGAUUAGCCCAUCAGUCAGCAUUGUGGUGUUGAAAUACCAGAUGUACUCUACGUCAGAGAGGGAAAGAGUUCAUAUGCUGUAACUGAAGUGAAUCUAGUUCCAAAUAUUGAGAGGUUCAGUGAUUAUAAGUGAUGUAUAAAUUAUACAUUUGAUAAGAGUCAUCAAAGAUAAGAUAAUGUAAAUGCAAGAGUUCUGAAUGUAUCACAAUCGAGAUCAUUGUUGGAGUUAUCCAGGGAACCAAAUGCAAAAGAAUUGUUGAAGGCAGAGAUGUUUUGGAUAAAAAAAGUGCAAAGAAAGAUAGAUGAAAAUUGGCAAACAAGGUAUCAAAGGCUAUGCCCUAGUAUGAAUAAGGAAGGGAUAAUAAUUGCAGGAUUAAGGAUAAGCAAAUGGCUUAAAACUAACUGGAAUCAAGAGAAAUUUGUAUUGCUAGUGCCUGAACAUCCAUUCACAAAGUUAUUGAUCCUGCACUUGCAUAACCAUGAUCAUUCAGGAAUAGAAGCCACAUUGUCUAAAUUGCAAAGUAAAUACUGGGUUCCAGGGGCCAGGAUAUUGAUAAAGAAUGUAAAGUCUCAGUGUGUCGUAUGUAGACGAAUUCAAAAGGUGUGUGAAACACAAUGCAUGGGAUCAUUGCCAGAAGAAAGACUUAAACCUGCUCCUCCAUUUUACAAUAAAUCAUUGGAUUUGUUUUUACCAUUCUGUGUCAAAACCCCUGUUAAAAGGAGAACUGAGCUAAAGGUAUAUGAUGUAAUUUUUACAUGUAUGGUGCGCAGGGAUGUAUACCUGGAUAUUGCAGAAGGAUAUGACACAAAUAUUUUUUUUCGAAGACAUUCAGAUUUGUAAGUGCGAGAGGUUUUCCAAAAGUAGUGUAUUCUGAUCGAUGUACUCAGCUAGUCAAGGCAAACAAAGGAUUGACUGGCAGUAUAGUGGAUUUGGAUUUUGACGAAAUUGCAAAAUUUGGUGGAAAAGAGGAGAUGAGCUGGAAUUUUACAAGGGUGAUUUGAUUAAUGAAAGGCCCAUUGGGGCAAAACCUGGUUGUGAUAUUAAUCAAGGAACAUCUUUAUCCAAAUGAUUUGUUGUUAGGGAGGUCAUCUAAUAAAGCUCCACCAGACAUGUGUAAUACUGACACCAGCCUUUUGAAGUGUUUCAAGUAUGUUGAUGAAGUGAUCAAUUGUUUUUGGAAAAAAUGGACCGGGGAUUUUUUCUCCACAUUGAUUGUUCAGGCCAAAUGACAUGUAGGAAAAAGAAAUGUACAACGUGGCAAUGUAGUACUGGUAAAAUACAGUAAUGCUGUGAGAGGAAAAUGGAAAUUAGCCCAGGUAAUGACUGCAGUGCCAGGUUCUGACAACAAAGUGCGCAAUGUAACGCUGAGGUAUAAGGCAACCAAAUCAGGUGUUAAAUAUAAUGGUCAACGGGAUACAGUUAUUGAUAGAUCUGUGCAUAAUAUUGUAGUUAUUCUUCCUGUGGAAGAAAAAAGCUAGUGGUGGCGGGAGUGUUUCGCGAAUGUUCGCAAAAUGUGACCUAUAAUCUGUAAUAUUUGUUGUAUUUGCCAUAUGGUGGGUUGUUGUGCUUGGCGCUUGUGUUUUGUUAUUGACUGCUACUGGCGUCGAAUCCAAGCCAGCUAGUCACACGUGUACACCGUGUCCUAGGAUAAGGAGGUUGUUGGCUGGCUUUGUGUUCCGCCGGCAGGUUUUCCUCCGCCAUAUGUGCAAGGUGUGUAUAUGCAUGUAGGAGUGGGUUGAGAAAAUCUAUAUCAGUCUAAAUGAUAGAAAUAGGUGUUGAAGUGAUUUUGAAUAUUGGCAAGGGUCUUGAUGGAGAAACACGUGUUAUUUUUUUAAAUUAACUGCAGUGUUCUGGACGUUGAUGGUGUGGUCUGGCCAGUGCUGGUGUGGCCAGGACAUUAAUGGUGUGGACUGGACAUUGAUGGGACAUACAGGAGGUCAAUGUUGUGAGUGAUUAAAGUGUUGUUUAUUAUGUGCUUAUACUGACAUAUUUGAUAGUUAUUAAUUAUGUCUUUAGCGGCUUUUUAUGUAUUUAUGAUGUGUAAUGUUAAGUGCUGCGGAUGAAUUAGAUUACAGUGCUGUGUAUUUUUAGUAUAUUAGACUAUAAUAACUUUGCUAAAUGAUUAGCAUUACAAUUGUCCAUUUGUUUUAAUAUUUUUGAUAGGAUUUAUAUGCAUUUGGGGAUUUGCUGUACUGGGCUGUAUAACUUUGUUUCUUUUGUAUUUGGUGAUUGAUUGUAAGAAUAUUUACAGGUUGGAUCAAUAAAUAUUGAUACCACU